rnacentral:rRNA from 1 species
AGCGAACGCUGGCGGCAGGCCUAACACAUGCAAGUCGAACGAACUCUUCGGAGUUAGUGGCGGACGGGUGAGUAACAUGUGGGAACGUACCUUUAGGUUCGGAAUAACUCAGGGAAACUUGUGCUAAUACCGAAUGUGCCCUUCGGGGGAAAGAUUUAUCGCCUUUAGAGCGGCCCGCGUCUGAUUAGCUAGUUGGUGAGGUAAAGGCUCACCAAGGCGACGAUCAGUAGCUGGUCUGAGAGGAUGAUCAGCCACAUUGGGACUGAGACACGGCCCAAACUCCUACGGGAGGCAGCAGUGGGGAAUCUUGCGCAAUGGGCGAAAGCCUGACGCAGCCAUGCCGCGUGAAUGAUGAAGGUCUUAGGAUUGUAAAAUUCUUUCACCGAGGACGAUAAUGAUGGUACCCGGAGAAGAAGCCCCGGCUAACUUCGUG